UGGGCUCCCUUGCCUGAGAAGGCUGGGGGUUCUAGGCUGAACUCAGGUCUUCUCAGAAUUCUUUUUCUAACUGAAUCUCUGAACUUUUUACUGGACAAAAUAUCUCUGAGACCCUCUGCUGUGUCCCGUGGGUCUCUCCAUCCAAAGUCAACAAACAGACACCAUCAAACUCACUUCCACUCUUUGAUCAAAUCACCUAGAGGAACUGCAUCUCCCCAAGGCUGGUCUGUUUCCUCCAAGGAAAAGCCAGUUGAGACAUCUCCAAGCACUCAGAGCCUCUGAUUUCCACAGAGGGUGGCAGAGGAGCCCAGCACCACCAAAUCCAUUUCAGAAGUGGUAUAACAGGGCACUCAGCAAGACUUGGCUCAAGAAGACCCAAAAGGAAGAUCCAUGAGCCCUCCAUGCAUCCCAGGCCUGCAGAGACCAGUGGAGGUUCCAGUAAAAGGUCUGAAGCCUGUGCUCUUUAAGUAAGGGUUUAUCUUAGCCCUUCCCCAGAACAGACGAGGCCUCCAAAGCUGAGGAUAAGUGAGGUUGGAGACCCCAAAGCUCUUUGGAAGGAAAAACACUAGAGAAUCAGAUGGACGGUCGAGGUGGCCCUCAGGGGAGAAAAGGAACCCUCCUAAGGGUCAUUUUUGGAGAAUUUAGGACCGACAUCAGGAAAAUGUUCCAGAAAAGCACAGCCCGUAACUGAUGCUGGAGAAAAAGUAUGAUGUGGAAAAUCAGGAACCAUGUAUUGUAAUUACAGAGAGAAGAAAGUAUGAAAUCUCUGGCCAACUCAAACAGCUAUAUCUGCCUCUCUGUGCCAGUUCUCUUGUGUUGUGCUGAGCUGUGUUUCCUUUUCUUC